rnacentral:rRNA from 1 species
AACGAACGCUGGCGGCAUGCCUAACACAUGCAAGUCGAACGAGACCUUCGGGUCUAGUGGCGCACGGGUGCGUAACGCGUGGGAAUCUGCCCCUUGGUUCGGAAUAACAGUUAGAAAUGACUGCUAAUACCGGAUAACGACGAAAGUCCAAAGAUUUAUCGCCGAGGGAUGAGCCCGCGUAAGAUUAGCUUGUUGGUGAGGUAACGGCUCACCAAGGCGACGAUCUUUAGCUGGUCUGAGAGGAUGAUCAGCCACACUGGGACUGAGACACGGCCCAGACUCCUACGGGAGGCAGCAGUGGGGAAUAUUGGACAAUGGGCGAAAGCCUGAUCCAGCAAUGCCGCGUGAGUGAUGAAGGCCUUAGGGUUGUAAAGCUCUUUUACCCGGGAUGAUAAUGACAGUACCGGGAGAAUAAGCUCCGGCUAACUCCGUGCCAGCCGCCGCGGUAA